rnacentral:rRNA from 1 species
CCUACGGGGGGCUGCAGUGAGGAAUAUUGGUCAAUGGGCGCGAGCCUGAACCAGCCAAGUAGCGUGAAGGAUGACUGCCCUACGGGUUGUAAACUUCUUUUAUAAAGGAAUAAAGUGAGGCACGUGUGCCUUUUUGUAUGUACUUUAUGAAUAAGGAUCGGCUAACUCCGUGCUAGCUGCCGCGGUAAUACGGAGGAUCCGAGUGUUAUCCGGAUUGAUUGGGGUUAAAGGGAGCGUAGAUGGGUUGUUAAGUCAGUUGUGAAAGUUUGCGGCUCAACCGUAAAAUUGCAAUGGAUACCGGCAGACUUGAGUGCAGUUGAGGUAAGCGGAAGUCGUGGUGUAGCGGUGGAAUGCGUAGAUAGCACGAAGAACUCCGAUUGCGAAGGCAGGUUACUAAACUGCCACUGACAUUGAUGCUCGAAAGUAUGGGGAUCAAACAGGAUUAGAUACCCGAGUAGUC